rnacentral:rRNA from 1 species
UCGGUUGAUCCUGCCGGACCCCACUGCUAUCGGGAUAGGACUAAGACAUGCUAGUCAAGCGCUCUCAAGCCAACAAGAGAGUGCGGCGCACAGCUCAGUAACACGUGGCUACCUGCCCUCGAGACGAAGAUAACCCCGGGAAACUGGGGCUAAUCCGCGAUAGGCGAAGAGCUCUGGAAUGAGCCUUUGCCCAAAAGACGAUUAGGUUAUGCUCCUGGUCGUCGCUCGAGGAUGGGGCCGCGACCGAUCAGGUUGUUGGUGAGGUAACGGCUCACCAAGCCUUUGACCGGUGCGGGCCGUGGGAGCGGGAGCCCGGAGAUGGGCACUGAGACAAGGGCCCAGGCCCUACGGGGCGCAGCAGUCGCGCAAACUUUACAAUACACGAAAGUGUGACAGGGCUAUCCCGAGUGCCGUCCGCUGAGGAUGGCUUUUACCCAGUCUAGAAAGCUGGGAGAAUAAGGAGAGGGCAAGUCUGGUGUCAGCCGCCGCGGUAAUACCAGCUCUCCGAGUGGUGUGGAUGUUUAUUGGGCCUGAAGCAUCCGUAGCUGGCCAAGCCAGUCCCCUGUUAAACCCAACGAAUUAAUCGUUGGUUUGCGGGGGAUACUGCUCGGCUAGGGGACGAGAGAGGCCGACGGUAUUCUCGGGGUAGGGGUGAAAUCCUAUAAUCCCGGGAAGACCACCAGUGGCGAAGGCUGUCGGCUAGAACGAGCCCGACGGUGAGGGAUGAAAGCUGGGGGAGCGAACCGGANUAGAUACCCGGGUAGUCCCAGCUGUAAACGAUGCAGGCUAGGNGUUUGGACGGCCACGUGCCGUUCUAGUGCCGCAGGAAGCUGNUAAGCCUGNCGCCU